ACGGAAGGCAGCAGUGGGGGAUAUUGCACAAUGGAGGAAACUCUGAUGCAGCAACGCCGCGUGAAGGAAGAAGGCCUUCGGGUUGUAAACUUCUGUCCUUGGUGACGAUAAUGACGGUAGCCAAGGAGGAAGCCACGGCUAACUACGUGCCAGCAGCCGCGGUAAUACGUAGGUGGCAAGCGUUGUCCGGAAUUACUGGGUGUAAAGGGUGCGUAGGCGGCUCAUAAAGUUAGAUGUGAAAUGCCGGGGCUUAACUCCGGAGCUGCAUUUGAAACUUAUGGGCUUGAGUGAAGUAGAGGUAAGCGGAAUUCCUAGUGUAGCGGUGAAAUGCGUAGAUAUUAGGAGGAACACCAGUGGCGAAGGCGGCUUACUGGGCUUUAACUGACGCUGAGGCACGAAAGCAUGGGUAGCAAACAGGAUUAGAUACCCUGGUA
rnacentral:rRNA from 1 species